AGGCAAUAAACUGAAGGGAUGAUGGGGGGCCGAUGGAUAACUAAUCCUAUUUCUAUGCAACCGAAGAUUUUGGUGUGAAAGAGAUUGGAUUCGUCUGCCCAUUUUUAACAAAACAAACAGCCUGUGAAAAACAGGCUAUUUGGGUAUGCGAAUUCUUCCGAAUACAAUUCGGAGGGAUUUUUUU
rnacentral:sRNA from 1 species